rnacentral:rRNA from 1 species
GUGAGGAAUAUUGGUCAAUGGGCGGGAGCCUGAACCAGCCAAGUCGCGUGAAGGAAGAAGGAUCUAUGGUUCGUAAACUUCUUUUGCAGGGGAAUAAAGUGCAGGACGUGUCCUGUUUUGUAUGUACCCUGAGAAUAAGGAUCGGCUAACUCCGUGCCAGCAGCCGCGGUAAUACGGAGGAUCCGAGCGUUAUCCGGAUUUAUUGGGUUUAAAGGGUGCGUAGGUGGUUUGAUAAGUCAGCGGUGAAAGUUUGCAGCUUAACUGUAAAAAUGCCGUUGAAACUGUCGGACUUGAGUGUAAAUGAGGUAGGCGGAAUGCGUGGUGUAGCGGUGAAAUGCAUAGAUACCAUGCAGAACUCCGAUUGCGAAGGCAGCUUACUAAGCUACAACUGACACUGAAGCACGAAAGCGUGGGGAUCAAACAGGAUUAGAUACCCCUGUAGUCC